AGGUCACUCAAUUCUCAACAAAUUUUUUCAUAUCGAAUCAGCAAAUCUAAAAACAACAUAACUUGCCCUUCGAUUCUCAUAUCCUUGUUUCCGGAUAUAACGAUUAGGAAUUUAUACAUUUGACAUGUUAUUUGUCAUUUAUCAGAGAAAAAAAGGAGAAAAAGUUCUACGUAUAUAAUCAACCAUUGGUUAUAUUUUGUCUUUUGGAACAUAUUGGAGAGGGAAGGACAUUAGCUUAGAUCCUUCACAACCUUAUCUCUUUAAUCACUGCAAAUGUGGAAGAAAAUGGCGUAUAUAAAUUCUCAAUAAAAAUCAUAAUCUGUCCAAGUAAAGAAUGUGACAUAGAAGUCCGAUUCGGGUAACAACAUCGAGAUGAUUUUUCAGCAAAAAAUCCAUAAACAAAGGCGUAAAAAUUAUAAACAGCUUGACCUCCGCCAGAUCCAAAUAACUGAUAAUACCAUAACUUAUUACAUUGCUAAACUGACAUCAUAGUUCAAGGUGAGAAGCCUGAAAUUUGAAAUUAAGAGACAUUAAAAAUAAGGGAGUCAUAUGAAAAAACUGAGUAUAAGAAAAUCACCUUGAUACGAAGAUCAUUGAGAAAUCGUAGGAGAGGGUAAGCCAAAUAUGUUGGAAUCCUUGUCGGAGAGACAAAAAGAGAGAAGGAGAGCUUGAUUUUUUUGAGGAUAGGAAAAUAGGGUUGAGAUUAAUUAUUUUCAAUACGUUCAGCGACGCAUAUUAUCAUUGAUUGAAGAAGCUAUGCUGCUCAAGGAAAAAGAUGAGAAGAGAA
rnacentral:lncRNA from 1 species